CAGAAAGAGAUGUUGAGUCGUUUUCAUGAUUCAAUUAUUCAGAGAAAGAAAUGUCAAAGAACAAAACACAUCAUAUAGGACAAUCCUACAUUACUGUACAUUCUCUGUCUAACACAAAACUACGUGAAGAAGA